rnacentral:tRNA from 1 species
GCCUGGGUGGCUCAGUCGGUUGAGCGUCUGACUUCAGCUCAGGUCAUGAUCUCACAGCUGUGUGAGUUCGAGCCCUGCGUCAGGCU